AUGCUAGUUAUAUAUAUCCUCUUCUUGUCCGGCCUAAAGAACUGUACUUACAGGAUUAUUAAAUCUGUUAUUAAGAGUUCAGGCUAGAAAGAUUUGGGGGAAUAGAAUCUGCUGGUGAAAAGGCCUUUUAUAAGUAUCUGUGACUAACUAUAUUUUAGAGUUCUGCAGAGGAAAAUACUGUCAACCUGCUGGGGUUAUCACUAAGAAAAAGGUUGUGGUAAUGCUAGGUCAUUGAGAACUUCUCAGUCAUCAGUAAUGAUUGAGUUUCACUUGCAUAAGACUUACCUUGCAGUGCGAUAUCUCAAGUGUAUAUACUCUCUAUUUUCCUGGAUAGCCUAAAUCAGGACCUACCACGGGUUUGUUCUAUAUCAUUCAGUAUUGGCAAUUAUCUUUUAAUGAAGAGAUAGUAAUUUGGAGGGGGGGAAAUCUGAAUAAGUUUAAUUGAUAUCCAUUUGUUGUAUUGUCUUAGUAACUUAACAUUUUAUGUUUGUUUUUCCAGCAGUCUAUCUUU
rnacentral:lncRNA from 1 species